rnacentral:lncRNA from 1 species
CUGGGCCAGAGAACAAGACAUUAUAGAUUUGCAUGUAAACAUUGCCUGAAUGCAAGUAAUUCAGAAGUUGGUGACAAACAUCUUUUGAGAAGGACGGCAUGAAAGGCUCUAGCAAACAAGCGAGAAGGUAGACAACUCCAACUGAAGUUUUCAUCACAGUCGUGCAACUAGCUGGAUCUUGUUUGUAAAGCUUCCAAAAUUGACUCUCCUGCAUAUCCAGGUAGAAAACCGGAGUCAAAUCCCGUGCAAGUUAAAUGAUGCAGAGUAGAAAUGAAAUCAGCAAAGGAAGGAACAAGAGCUUACUUGAAG